CGUGCGGCGGCCGUACUUUCGGCGGGCGGAGCGCCACGACCGGUUCGUCGGCGGCGAGAAACUCCCGGGCAAGGUGACCUUCGUCUCGGCGCAGGAGCAUACAGGCCCGGUGAGCGUCGGCCCGUCGGUGGACCGAGGAAGACCGUCGCGGAGCGGCGUCGACCGUUCGUCGUGUGUUGGCGUUCGACUCGGGGGGACUGGUUCCAGUGCCCUCGGACCGCGCCGGCGCAGCGGCGGGCGCGCACGGCGUCGCGCCUGGGGUCGGUGGCGAAACGGCCGGCAACCUGUCCGACCCGUCUUGAAACACGGACCAAGGAGUCUAACAUGUGCGCGAGUCGUUGGGCGCUACGAAACCCGAAGGCGCAAUGAAAGUGAAGGCCCGGUCUCCGGCCGGCCUGGGUGGGAUCCCGGCGGUCUCGGCCGUCGGGCGCACCACCGGCCCGUCUCGUUCGUUACGUCGAGGAGGCGGAGCAAGAGCGUACACGUUGGGACCCGAAAGAUGGUGAACUAUGCCCGAGUAGGACGAAGCCAGAGGAAACUCUGGUGGAGGUCCGCAGCGAUUCUGACGUGCAAAUCGAUCGUCAAACUUGGGUAUAGGGGCGAAAGACUAAUCGAACCAUCUAGUAGCUGGUUNCUGUCGAAGUUUCCCUCAGGAUAGCUGGCGCUCGUCGUGAGCAGUUUUAUCCGGUAAAGCGAAUGACUGGAGGCCUUGGG
rnacentral:rRNA from 1 species